rnacentral:rRNA from 1 species
UACGUAGGGUGCAAGCGUUGUCCGGAAUUAUUGGGCGUAAAGAGUUCGUAGGCGGUCUGUCGCGUCCGUUGUGAAAGCUUGGGGCUCAACCCCGGGUCUGCAGUCGAUACGGGCAGGCUAGAGUUCGGUAGGGGAGAUCGGAAUUCCUGGUGUAGCGGUGAAAUGCGCAGAUAUCAGGAGGAACACCGGUGGCGAAGGCGGAUCUCUGGGCCGAUACUGACGCUGAGGAGCGAAAGCUAGGGGAGCAAACAGG